rnacentral:misc_RNA from 1 species
AACGCACCUUGCGCUCCUUGGUAUUCCGAGGAGCAUGCCUGUUUGAGUGUCAUUAAAUUUCUCAACCAUUAUCAACUUUUGCUGAUAAUGGCUUGGAUGUGGGGGUCUAUUUUGCUGGCUUCUCAGAUAGUCAGCUCCCCUUAAAUGCAUUAGCCGGUGCCCCGCGUGGACUGUCUAUUGGUGUGAUAAUUAUCUACGCUAUAGACAUCCGCAAUCAUAUGGGUUUGCGCUGCUUCUAACAGUCUGUUGAUUCAGACAAUACAUGACAAUUUGACCUCAAAUCAGGUAGGACUACCCGCUGAACUUAA